rnacentral:rRNA from 1 species
CCUACGGGAGGCAGCAGUGGGGAAUAUUGGGCAAUGGGCGCAAGCCUGACCCAGCAAUGCCGCGUGAAGGAAGAAGGCUUUCGGGUUGUAAACUUCUUUGACAGGGGAAGAGCAGAAGACGGUACCCUGAAAACAAGCCACGGCUAACUACGUGCCAGCAGCCGCGGUAAUACGGAGGGUGCGAGCGUUAAUCGGAAUUACUGGGCGUAAAGCGCUCGUAGGCGGUAUGUCAAGUCAAGGGCGAAAUCCCCGCGCUCAACGUGGGAACUGCCUUUGAAACUGGCAAACUGGAGUGUGUGAGAGGAUAGUGGAAUUCCAGGUGUAGGAGUGAAAUCCGUAGAUAUCUGGAGGAACAUCAGUGGCGAAGGCGACUAUCUGGCACAUAACUGACGCUGAGGAGCGAAAGCGUGGGUAGCAAACAGGAUUAGAUACCCGUGUAGUC